AACGCACGAGACCUGCGGACCUGCGGAGGGAUCAUUACCGAGUUUAGACUCCCAAACCCCGUGAGAACCCUACUCCGUUGCCUCGGCGGGACCGCCCCGGCGCCCACGGCGGCCCGGACACAGGCGCCCGCCGGAGGGCCCCGAGACUCAGCUCUGUCAGCGGCAUGUCGGCGUACAAGCACAAAAAUGAAUCAAAACUUUCAGCAACGGAUCUCU
rnacentral:misc_RNA from 1 species